rnacentral:lncRNA from 1 species
UUGAGGAGAAAAGAGGGGGAGAAGGUGUGCCAGGUCAUGGGGAAGGUGAAGGGGUAGUGAUCAGGGUGGGAGGAGGCACCACCGUGCUGGCGUGGCCGUGCCGUGCCACGGUGGUGAGUGCGUGCGUGCCAGAGGUAGAAGAAGGAAGCAGGGUGUUGUGUGUGAAGGAAAUAGAAGUCUAGGGGGUUAUGCGUAAAAGCUCUGGGUUUGAGCGUUAGGUGGAAUUUCUCUCAGGGACCUAGGCGCUAGAUGUGAGGUCUGUUUUGAAAAAUGAAGGGUAGAUCUUUUAGGAAAUAAGGUUCCCAGGGGCCUCGGUGUGAAAGUAGUUUAGUUAAUAGUUGUAAAUCUUCGCUGAAACUUAUGAAAUCCAUAGUAAAACGUAGAAAAUUGGUAAAAAUACGAAAUAAAUUUUGUUGGGUUCCUGAUGGUUAGAUCCACAUAGGAAAAAUACUUGUCCUUAUGAAAUAUGUGUUUCUGUUGCAGAUUAAAAUACAUGUUGUCUAAUCUCAUUAAUUUAGUAUAAAUAGCUUGAGUACUCAUAAAAUCCUGAUAAAUCUGUAGUAAUAUAUUCCUAUGUGGAAAAGUAUUCUAGGAAGCUUGUAGAACCAAAUUGCUUAUAUAACUUUAGAUAUGAAUUAUUCUUCAUAUUUGCAGUUUUGCAAUGUUUGAUUUCAAAUAAAUUCUGUGGGAGUCCAAUCAUGCUGAAAGGUUUACAGUAAUGUGUUUGUGUGAUUAGUAAGCUCAUGAAAAUGAUUUAUAUUGAUAUAACAUAGAAUGAUUCUUGAAUAAUUAUUCUUUCUAUAAACUAGUUUAAAUUAUUAAAAAUACUUGCUGCUGGAAUUAUGGGCUAAUAAAUUAUUUUUAUGCUGUUUAUCAAUAGCAUGCUCGUCCCUGAAAAGUUUGCUAGCAGAAUCUCUAUGGUUGCUUGUAUAUGUCACUUAUUUGGCCUCUAGUAUGUUAUUGCUAUAGUUUCAC